UCCUGCUCCUCUAUUCACUCACAUGCUGCAGACACUUCUGGCUUGCAGCUUUGAGCCAAAGGGUCACGAUCCCCGGAAGAUGAUGUGACAUUAUCGCGCCUGCCAGAGAUCCCGUCCCUGCAGCUCACACGCUGCAAGCCAGAAGCAAGGGAGAGACCUGCUUGUGGAAACGUGGAUUAGGAUCAGAAUGCGCUGACAUAGUGAGGAGCCAAUGCCAUUCGGGCAUCACGUUCUGCAGAGAGAUUUUGCUGGAUGAAGUCCUGGCGGUAUGUACCAUCUGAAUUAGAUAAGGCCAGAAACGACCUCUGAGCCCAGCAUGUACUACUAGGGGUAGAGAACCCAUUUACUCAGGAGGACUGCAAGUCAAACAAUUCCCAAGUCUAUAUUUUUCACAUUGUUCAAGGACUGUGACAGUGACAUACUACCAGCUAUCACUACCAAAUCUCCAUCAAGCGUGAUAUUCCCAGUCUGUUUUAACAUCACAGU